rnacentral:tRNA from 1 species
GCGUUUUUAGUUUAAAAGGACAAAACACCAAUCUUCUAAAUUGACAUUGGAGGUUCAAGUCCUUCAAAACGCA